rnacentral:rRNA from 1 species
AUAUUACUAAGCGGAGGAAAGGAUAUCAACGAAGAUUGCCUCAGUAGCGGCGAGUGAAGCGGCAAAAGCUCAAGUUUAGAAUCUGUAGCCUUCUUGGCUACCGAAUUGUAAUCUAAAGGGGCUAACAAAAGGGGAAGUGGAAGCAUAAGUUCCUUGGAACAGGACGUCACAGAGGGUGAAAACCCCGUAUGCAGCCUUCACUGAACCGAAUGUUGACCUUCAAAGAGUCGGGUUGUUUGGGAUUGCAGCCCUAAAUGGGAGAUAAACUUCUUCUAAGGCUAAAUAUUUAUGGGAGACCGAUAGCGCACAAGUA